CCGCGUGAAUGAUGAAGGCCUUCGGGUUGUAAAGUUCUUUUGGCGGGGACGAUGAUGACGGUACCCGCAGAAUAAGCUCCGGCUAACUUCGUGC
rnacentral:rRNA from 1 species